UGUCAAGGUGACAGUUGUUAGUUGACAUACGAUUAUUUCUGAUGUUUGGUGGUCUUCAUUUUGUAUUGGCAAAAAUAUAUCUCCAACUCCUAUCUCUAAAGACGAUGAUAACCAUUGUGAAGAAUGACAUGCAAAGGCUAUUAGAACCACAUAUCAACAAUUUUCUGACCAUGACCAAGUGAUGAAUAUGAUAAAAGUCUACCUCAUGAAAGCCACACUACUUUUCAAAGAAAAAUAUUUUCUUUGGAGUUGUAGGUAUUAUAGUGAAAACUUAAUCUUGACUUCUGUUCUGCAUAAAUGAGAAUCGCACUAUGCCAGGUAACAUAAUGUAGCGAGUACCCUGGUUGAGUCAAGAUAAUAUAAGUGGAAAGAUAAUGUGGCCCAAGUAGUAAAGGAAAGGAUGUACAAACAGCCGAAUGUGAAUCUGGCAAUAAUGUGCCUGUUUAAAUGAGUUUUAGUUGAGUACCAAAUAGUUACCUAGGUUUUCCUGGGAAAAACACUGAUCCAGCCUUUCUGAUUCAACUGAGUUUUUGUAUGGUUUUGAAU